CUUUUGUAGUUUAUUUAAAACAUUGCUUUUUCACCGCAAAAAAGAAAUUUUCCAAGAGU
rnacentral:tRNA from 1 species